rnacentral:lncRNA from 1 species
CUCUAACCUAUGGAGCGCCUACUACCUACUAUUUCUUCAUUUCGUCCUGCCCUGUAAUUGGAUUUCCUCCAGGAGGGGAACUCGCUGCUCACCAAGAUGGCCCUGCCCAUGCUCACUUUCAGUUUUAAGAGCUUCAUUCAGUUUUAAAAAGUUUCCUCAUCCUGAGCUGAAACUGCUUUCCUCUUAUUUCCAAACUGGAGGCCAAACGGUAAGAGGGCUUUAAGUUAUCGAUCUAGGUCAAGUGCCGCCCGUUAGGAAUGUGUGGUCCUCACCAGUUGUGCUGCCA